UCAGUGUAGCUGCUACUAUAUCCUGCCUUAUUUUUGGCUCUUGAUUUUUCACAUUCAUUUUUUCUUUCACAGCACACAUUGAAGAUUUUUCGCUCUAUUCUUGGAAUUAUCUUCAUUUUGGGCAACCCAAAAUUUGAUGAAUCUUAUAAUGCCUUUCUUACUUGUAUAUUUGCUGGUAGAUUAUUCAGGAAGAGGGCCAGAGUAUUGUUGUUGCUCCAAAUGCAGUACACUGGGGCUGGAAUACAGGGUACAACAUUGCAGAGGCAUGCAAUUUUGGAACAUUAUCCUGGAUCCCUUUUGGCAUUGUGGCCCCAAAAUGCUCCUGCAUGGGUGGGGAGGUGCACAUGGACCUAGAAAGACUAAUUGCUGCUACUCGACCUGAACUUCUUGAAUGCUAUUUAAAAAAGUCGAUUCCUCAAGGCGAAGAUGACAUAUUCUGUAAAUCAAUAUUAAGAAUGAACAGCAACUGUCAGAUUUCUCAACCACACAUUGAAGAAAAGGUAAUGCUAAAACAAUCAAACCGAGGGGGUAAUCACUACAGAAAGUAGGUGUACACAUUUCUGUAAAAGUUAAAGUGAAAGUGACAAAAAGUUGACUAAAAGUGAUGAAAACUGAAAGAAAAUGUCGACAAAAGUGACUUAUCGUGCCUUGAUCAGAUGAAAAAUGAAUAAAAUAGAGGGGAUAUAGGCAUAGAAAUAAAGUAAACGUUGUAAAACGGUGAAGAAGUGAAUAAAAGUGGAAAAGUGAAAAGUUGA